UACGAAGGGGGCUAGCGUUGCUCGGAAUCACUGGGCGUAAAGCGCACGUAGGCGGCUUCUUAAGUCAGGGGUGAAAUCCUGGAGCUCAACUCCAGAACUGCCUUUGAUACUGAGAGGCUUGAGUCCGGGAGAGGUGAGUGGAACUGCGAGUGUAGAGGUGAAAUUCGUAGAUAUCGCAAGAACACCAGUGGCGAAGGCGGCUCACUGGCCCGAUACUGACGCUGAGGCACGAA
rnacentral:rRNA from 1 species